UUCACUCCCUCGUCCGCAGUCCGCACGAUCGAUAUCAACAAAGCUACAACGUCUGUAGCAAACCACCUACACAACACUAUUCAAAAUGAACCACAUAAUCAAAUGAACAACACUAACAGCUGUAACGACAAGAAAAUGUAAACAACAAAGAUCGGGUCCCGGUUCCGGACCCAGCGUACCCGCCCUACCUUAGACGAUCAUCUGAGCUUGUCUCCCUCAUUUUGGCCACUAGAUGGCCUUCAUCAGCCCGUGUCGGCUGUCAUGCCUCUCCCCAUCAAUUGAGACUUAGCCGGACAUUUCUCUCUUCAGUAGGGUAUCCCCAUUCUGCAAUUUAUUAUAUGCAAGCUGACAUAUGUAUGUCUUCAGCUCGUCAACAGAAUACAUUUUUAUUUAACAACUUUAAAGAGAACAGGCAACGAAAACACUGCCAAAGUUAUUGCCAGUCAACAAAAAAAAAACAAGGGGAAAGAUACUAAUAACAGGAAAUUUUCUUAAGUGAAACUCGGCCCAGGGGUAUCGAACAUGAGUCUACUUGUGCCUCUGCCUGUUACUCAAGGCGAGGGUGGGCGUUAUGGAUCGGAGUCACUCGGAUGAUGUGGACGUGGUCUCGCCCGUGGCCGCUUCUUGGCCUGUCCUUCUGGUUAGCGUCGGUGACACGUGUGCCGAGGGUAUGGCUGAUGUGCGCCGCUGCGUCGAAACCUGGCCUGGGUGUGACUCUGUUGGCCUCUCUGGUCCGAGAGCUUGUCCCUUCGUUGCCGGAACCAUGGGUCAUUUGUUUUAUAAAUGUUUUUAUUUGUUCGUCCCGUGUCGCAUAUAAGUUUUAAUAUUUUUAAUUUUUGUAUAUUGUAACACAAUGUUUGAAUUUAUGUUUCAUUAUUAAACCUCGAAAAAAAUA